rnacentral:rRNA from 1 species
UACGGGGGGAGCAAGCGCUGUUCGGAUUUACUGGGCGUAAAGGGCGCGUAGGCGGUCAGCACAAGUCAGUUGUGAAAUCUCCGGGCUUAACUCGGAAAGGUCAACUGAUACUGUGCGACUAGAGUGCGGAAGGGGCAACUGGAAUUCUCGGUGUAGCGGUGAAAUGCGUAGAUAUCGAGAGGAACACCAGUGGCGAAGGCGGCUCACUGGCCCGAUACUGACGCUGAGGCACGAAAGCGUGGGGAGCAAACAGG